rnacentral:lncRNA from 1 species
CAGGCGUGAGCCACCGCGCCCGGCCAAUUUCUAAGGCUCCAUUAGGGCUAAGGUUCAUGUAUCCAUGGUGAAGUAUAGAAGAACUCAGAAUCGUUCCAAACAUAAUGGGCUUGGAGUAAUGGAGAACUCCAAGGGCAGGAGGUAACCAUUAAAGAGGACCAUCAUGUAGUGUGAGGAGUCAACAUUUCACACUAGAAAGCCCUUGGUUCAAGUUUUGUCUCUGCCACCUACAGAUUUUGUAACCCUGAGAGAAAAGGAAAAUCCUACGGAGGAGGGGCUCUGAUGGCUUUGAAGAAGGCAGUGAAUGGCCACAUGUUCCCUGAGGACAGCACAGGCUAAAGGCUCAGCUAGAAGAAAGGCACAGAGAUAGCAAGGGAAACUAGCUACCUCUUUAUGUACUGCCCUAUGGAGAGGCACACAUGUCAAGAAACUGAGGGAGUGCCUUCCAGUCAACAGCCAGCCAGGAACUAAGGUGCUCAGUACAGCAGCCUCCACAAAGGACUGAACAAUGCCAACAGCUAUUUGACUGUGCUUGGAAGAUCUCCGUUUAGUUAACCCUUCAGAUGAGACCGCAGCCCUGGCCAGCAAACAAAUUGCAGCCUAUGGAAAGACCUUAAGGCAGAAGCACCCAACUGAACCACCCGAGGGCUCUGACUUACAGAAACUGUGAGCAUAUAGUGAAAUGGCCUCUACCUUAUUUUGAAUGGAUUUCUGGGAUAAAGUUCUUCAGUGAUAACAUGUUUGAAGUUUCAGGAAAGAGGCACUGGCCUUUACUUCUCCACCUCGAUUCACUUCCAUGCUGUUGACAAAUGUUAUAGUUGCCCAGGAUCAGAGGGAGAGACUGACCCUGUGACCAUUUCCCCAAAGGCGGCCUUUGGCCACUCCGUGCACUGGAGCACAUGACCCUCUGCCUCGCCCCUGCCACAUUAACCAGGCGGCUAUCUUAUGUGCCCAUGUUACAUGCUCAUGAUAAAGCUGCAUUUCCUGAGGGGACACCAAUGGAUACACCUCUGCCUGGCACGCAGCUUAGAGGCUAAAUGUAUGAAAAGCAACACCAUGCAAAUCAUUUUGAAACUGCUGUGGAACUCUCACGGGACCCUCCAUUCUAGACAUCCAGUCCCACUAGUGAUCUGACCAUGAAACCUACUAAGAGACUUCCAGAAGAAGAUGACCUCUGAAAGGAGAAAACUUUCUUCCAAGCUUCUGUGGAACAAGAAGAUGCCAUCCCUUUGGUGGAGCCCAAAGGGAAACCAGGACACUGAAGGAAUUAACCAGAAAGAAAAGAAGAGAAGAAGGAGAAGAAAGAAGAAGAAGAAGAAGGAGAAGGAGAAGGAGACGAGG